GACGAACGCUGGCGGCGUGCCUAAUACAUGCAAGUAGAACGCACAGUUUAUACCGUAGCUUGCUACACCAUAGACUGUGAGUUGCGAACGGGUGAGUAACGCGUAGGUAACCUGCCUGGUAGCGGGGGAUAACUAUUGGAAACGAUAGCUAAUACCGCAUAAUAUUGAUUAUUGCAUGAUAAUUGAUUGAAAGAUGCUAUUGCAUCACUACCAGAUGGACCUGCGUUGUAUUAGCUAGUAGGUGAGGUAACGGCUCACCUAGGCGACGAUACAUAGCCGACCUGAGAGGGUGAUCGGCCACACUGGGACUGAGACACGGCCCAGACUCCUACGGGAGGCAGCAGUAGGGAAUCUUCGGCAAUGGACGAAAGUCUGACCGAGCAACGCCGCGUGAGUGAAGAAGGUUUUGGGAUCGUAAAGCUCUGUUGUAAGAGAAGAACGGGUGUGAGAGUGGAAAGUUCACACUGUGACGGUAUCUUACCAGAAAGGGACGGCUAACUACGUG
rnacentral:rRNA from 1 species